GCGGGCGUGGUUCAGUGGCAGAACACGACCUUGCCAAGGUUGAGACGAGGGUUCGAUUCCCUUCGCCCGCUCCA
rnacentral:tRNA from 1 species